GAUGAACGUUGGCGGCGUGCCUGAGAUAUGCAAGUCGAGCGAUCCCGCCUCUGGCGGGAAGUGGCGAACGGCUGAGUAACACGUAGGAACCUGCCCCUAAGUCGAGGAUAGUCCGCCGAAAGGCGGAGUAAUACUCGAUGGUUCCCCUCCGAUUCGGAGGGGUAAAGGAUCUAACCGUCCGCUUAGGGAGGGGCCUGCGGCCUAUCAGGUAGUUGGUAGGGUAACGGCCUACCAAGCCGAUGACGGGUAGCUGGCCUUAUGAGGGUGGUCAGCCAGAGGGGGACUGAGACACGGSCCCCACUCCUACGGGAGGCAGCAAUCAGGAAUCGUCGGCAAUGGGCGAAAGCCUGACCGCGCGACGCCGCGUGCGGGAAGAAGCUCUUCGGAGUGUAAACCGCUGUGGUAGGGGAGGAAGCCCCGCCGUUGGCGGGGUUGACAGUAMCCUACUAGAAAGGGGSCGCUAACUGCGUUCGGUAAUACGUGGGCCCCAAACGUUAUCCGGUGUCAMUGGGCGUAAAGGGUCGUGUAGGCGUCCCGUCAAGUUUUACCUCAAAGACUAUGGCUCAACCAUAGGAAGGGGUAAAAAACUGACGGGAUAGAAUUCCCUCAAGGGGGACGGGAACUUGCGGAGGAGCAGUGAAAUGCGUUGAUACCGCAGGGAACACCAGUGGCGAAGGCGCGUCCCUUCGAGGGAAUUGACGYUGAGACACGAAAGCUAGGGGAGCGAAGCAGAUUAGAGACCUGCGUAGUCCUAGCCGUAAACGCAUGUCUGCUAGCUGUGCUUUUCCUCGCCUCAUUGGCGUGGUUAGGCAUGGCGAAGGUAACCCGUUAMGCAGACCGCCUGGGGACUACGGCCGCAAGGCUAAAACUCAAAGGAAUUGGCGGGGAGGCACACAACCAGUGGAACAUGUGGUUCAAUUCGAGACGAACCGAAGAACCUCACCAGGGCUUGACAUGCUACCGUUCACCCGAAAGGAAACUUUCGGGGAUCCGCAAGGAUGGUAGCACAGGUGCUGCAUGGCUGUCGUCAGCUUGUUCCGUGAGGAGUG
rnacentral:rRNA from 1 species